GUUUUAUUUAUAUCCACACAUAUGAAGGGAAAAACCACAAAAAACGCAACAAGAAAAAGUAGAAAGAAGUGGCUUUGUGUGUAAUACAGAGACUGUGUUAUGAGCUGAGUAACAGAGAAAGAGAUAGAUGAAGAAGGAGAAGGAAGAGUGUGAUCCAAAUUGAGAAAAAGGCUGAAUUUAUAGCAAGUCAACAUGAAAGAAAAAGGUUUUACAAAAUGGAAUUCUCAAAGCAGACUAGAUCAGUCAAACGGAUGACUAAGCAGGUUUUACGAAAUGGAAUUCUCAAAGCAGACUAGAUCAGACAAACAGAUCACUAAGCAGUUCUCCCUACCCCAAUUCUCUGUCAAGGUCAUCAACCUCUUCAUGUGUUAUAAUCCUGUUUGGUCAAGCUUAUUUUUCCUCCCAAAAAUACUUAUUUUUUCAGUAAGUGUUUAUUUGAAAAAAAGUGAGGAGUUUGGCAAGCUUUUGGGAGAAAAUAAGUAUUUCUAGAGAGUAGCAGAAGCAGUUUUUCAGAAGCUAAAAAAACAGCUUUUGCUCAAAAGCAUUUUUUUGAAAAGUACUUUUGAGAGAAAUAUAAAUAGAAGCACUUUUUAAAAGCUUGACCAAACAUUAAUUGCUGCUCAGAAGCACUUUUUUAAUUAAUUGGCUAAACACAAACUGUUUUCUCUAAAAAUACUUUUAAAAAAAUACCGUUUAAACUAAGUUAAACAUGCUAUUUUUUCAAGAAAUUCAGUCGUGGUCGUGUUUAAGGGAAAACGUUUGGUCUAUGGUGGGCCCUAUACAUGUUGGCGCUUUAUCUCAGUUUGAAAUUUAUAGUCUGUUUUGUCAAUUUUUUAAAAUUAGCUUAUUUUAAAAAAUAUUUUUUUAAAAAAUUACUUUUGAAAAAAGCAUUUUUGGCGAAAAACAAUUUAUGUUUGGCCAAUUAAUUAAAAAAAAUACUUUUGAGCAGUCAUUAGUAUUUGAUCAAGCUUUUAAAAAAUGCUUUUAUUUGUAUUUUUCUCAAAAGUGCUUUUCAAAAUGGGCAAAAACUGUUUUUUUAGCUUCUGAAAAACUGCUUCUGCUACUCCACAAAAACACUUAUUUUCUUCCAAAAGCUUGGCCAAACACUUCACUUUUUUUUCAAAUAAGCACUUAUUGAAAAUAUAAGUACUUUUGUGGGGAAUAUAAGCUUGGCCAAAUAGGCUAUUAAUCACUUUCUCGUCCAUUUCUUAUUAUAGCUGAAUAUUAUAUUAUACUAUUUCAUUCUAAAUGUUUAAUUAUGCUUCGAAUCUUCAAGUUCUAAUAAGGUAACACCUGCAAAACUAAUUUUUUUAAUCUAUAUGCAUCUAUAUCUAUCCACAUAUAUUAAAAGCACAAAUAAUUUUCGCUAAAAGUUAAAUGAUAAAAAUAUCUUCGAAACGUUGAUGGACUUUUAUAUCCUUUAUAUUUGAAUUAUGUCUUCAAAAUUAAUAUCCAAAAAUGUAAAAGUAUUUGGACUCCCAAGUCCUGUCACCGGUUAAAUGUUUGUUUGUGGCCUUGCCCGUGACAUGUGAAGGUAUUUUUUCCUCUUUUUGUUCUCUGUGUAAAUGGCUUUUCAAGGCAUCUAAGUACGUACUUCGUGAGUUCGUGUUGUUAAAUUUAUGCUUUUAGACCUUUAAUUUGUACUUUUGUUUUAAUUUUUUUUUUCUAAGGUUAUCCGUAGGCCUAUACGAGUAAAUUGUUAACAUGUAAUUAUUGAUUCUGAUACUUUAGAAUACAUUCGUUCGAUCUGCAACGUUUGUUAUAGACAGUUAAUCCAACUUAUUCAAUAGGACUUUUAACACCUAAACCAAAUUUUAUACAUCUGGAAGCUGAGUAUGCCCGCGCAUGUAACUUGUAAGAUUCUGGAGUCCUCCUGUUAAUUUCUUAAUUUUAUGGAUAUUAAUUACUUUUUGCAACCUUUAUCAUUAAAGACCAGCUUUUUGUUGUUUUUUCCAUGUUAGUGACCAAGGAUGAGUAUGUGAGUAAGAUUUUACUUCCAAAUAUGACCAAGUCUGUGAACACACUAAGGGCCUGUUUGGAAAGCCACCCAGGUAAUUGGAAUUGGAUGUAAUUGGGUGUAAUUACACAGUUUGGCCUGUUUGUUUGACCAGGUAAUUACACAGUUAGGUGGGAAUUGGAUGUAAUUGACAGAGUGUAAUUACACUCUCCAAUUCUCAAGGGGAGGCUGAGAAUUGGGUGUAAUUACACCCUGUAAUUACAGAGUUACUUUUUAGUUUUUUUUUUAAUUUAUAUUUUUUUAUUUCUUUGAUUUUCUAAUUUUUUUUUUAUUUCUAUUAAUUAAUUAUUUUUUUAUUUUUACUUUUUAAUUAUUUUUAUAAAUAUAUUUUUCUUUUUAUAUUAUUUAUGUUUCAUUUCCUUUCUUCUCAUUCCCAACCUUUACUUCUUGUGGUUCCAUGUAAUUGCUCGUAUUUUUUAUUUUAUUAAUUUAGCAUAACAGUAUUAUUAUUCUAAUUUUGGAAACUACAUCUCUUAAUAUUAGAAAGAAUGAGUCAUUAACAAACUUGACAUACAGCGAGUGACGUUAUUAAAGUAGAAUUUUGUUGUGAAUGUGGUUAUAGACUUAUAUUUUCCCUUUCUAUUGAAUUAUAGGAGUAUUUACUUAUGUUACGUUGUAACUUACUUAUGUAAUGUUGGAAUUUGGCAUAAGAGUAUUAUGUUAAAAAAAAUUCUUUUGGAUUCUUUUGAAUUUAAGUUAUAUUUUCGACUUUAAUUUUUUUGCUUUAGUACUAUUGACUUUUUAUUUCACAUUGCUUGUUAUUUAUUUUUUACUUAUAAUUGAUAGAAUUUUUGUUAAACAUUUGAAAAAUAUUGUGGCAUUAUAUUUAUAAAUAUUCCU